UACGUAGGGUGCGAGCGUUAAUCGGAAUUACUGGGCGUAAAGCGUGCGUAGGUGGCUGCGCAUGUCGAGUGUGAAAUCCCCGGGCUUAACUUGGGAAUUGCGCUCGAAACUACGUGGCUCGAGUGUGGCAGAGGAAGGUGGAAUUCCACGUGUAGCGGUGAAAUGCGUAGAGAUGUGGAGGAACACCGAUGGCGAAGGCAGCCUUCUGGGCCAACACUGACGCUCAUGCACGAAAGCGUGGGGAGCAAACAGG
rnacentral:rRNA from 1 species